rnacentral:rRNA from 1 species
GAUGAACGCUAGCGAUAGGCCUAACACAUGCAAGUCGAGGGGCAUCACAUGAAGUAGCAAUACGGAUGGUGGCGACCGGCGCACGGGUGAGUAACACGUAUGCAACCUGCCUUCAACAAGGGGAUAACCCGUUGAAAGACGGACUAAUACCCUAUAACACAGGGGUCCCGCAUGGGAAUAUUUGUUAAAGGACAACCGGUUGAAGAUGGACAUGCGUUCCAUUAGCUAGUUGGCGGGGUAACGGCCCACCAAGGCAACGAUGGAUAGGGGAACUGAGAGGUUUAUCCCCCAACUGGUACUGAGACACGGACCAGACUCCUACGGGAGGCAGCAGUGAGGAAUAUUGGUCAAUGGACGCAAGUCUGAACCAGCCACGUCGCGUGAAGGAAGACGGCCCUACGGGUUGUAAACUUCUUUUAUACGGGAAUAAAGUGCCCCACGCGUGGGGUUUUGCAUGUACCGUAUGAAUAAGGAUCGGCUAACUCCGUG